AAUAAUUGUUUAAAAAAAUGUUUGCCAAAAUGCAGCAAACUUUUUUAACACUUUGAACAAGCAAUUGAAAUUUACUAUUGCAGUUAAUAAAAAUGUCAAUUAAUCCUUUCUUGCACAGCAAUGGUGAAACUUUAUUCACAAGUGUCACUUCAAAUAUAAAAAAACAAUAAAAAACAAAGUAGACUAAAUUGUCAGAAGGUUCUCUUAGUCUUCCCCUAUUCAAAGAAAUGAUCAAAGUUCCAUAUUUUUGAAACAUAAUCAAAGCUGUCUGUUUCUUCUAAAAUUGAAUGUAAUUCUGGAAGUUUGUAAGCAAUAAAACCUGCAAUAUAUAAAAGUCCUUGAUUGCAUUCAUUUGGCAACUAAUCCUCACAAUUUUCACAUAUUGACAUAAUAAACUCCACAUCAAGUUCACACUUAUCACAGUGGUGGUGAGCAGGAGGAAAUAUUGUAAAAUCUGUAUGCAUGCUAGCAACUUUCUAGUUUUGUCGAUUCUAAAUUUUUGAAUAACAUUUUGCACCGUUAUCAGAUAUGUGCCACCUGACCCUUGCCGAUAUUUCCUAAACUGUUUUUCUAGUGCAUCUGAUUGCAUAUGUCCUAACAAUACAUAAGAUACACUGCAAUUCAACAAAUACUUGGAGCAGCUUGCUAAUCUUUUAGAAGUUUUUUGCAAAGCACUUGCAGUAUCCAUUGUUAACUUUUUCUCUCUUAAUUUUGAACUUACGCAUUUCAAAUUUUCAGCAAAAUACGAAAUAUAGUUCUCUAAGAAAUCUAUUUGCCAAUCAUUAACUGAAACAUUGUAAUUUUUCAGUGAUCCAAUUAUUUCCAAUACAUUUUAAAAUAUGCACAGUGUCAUUUAAAAGAUAGUAUGCUGGAACUUUUUUUGCAUUAAAAUAUUGAAAUGUUUUUUGGUUUACUUGACAGUUAUCCAUUAUUAACCCAAGAGGCUUUCCACCUGCAAUUAUGAUUUGUUGAUUUAAUUCUUCUAUCACGCUUGUUUGAAAAUUUGUUGUAACUUUACAAACUGGAAAAACUUUUAUAACAAGUCGUGGGCCACCAAAAAGACAAAGGAGCAUAGUGCUAAUGGUGUAUUGUUUGUUUUAUUUAAUAAAGCUACUUGAUGCCUAAUAUAACUUGCUCACUUAGAAUCUGUUUCAUUAUUAAUAACAUAACUAACAGCAUUCUCCAGUUGAGAAUAAUAUUUAAUAACUCCUUUGUUUAAAAAAGACAGUUUAAUUUGUAAAAGUUGGCUAUAUCCAGUAAAAUAAAUAUCUCCAUAAUCUUCUGAAGUUAUAUAUAUUGAAAACUUAGGUACUAUUCCACAACGUUCAUAUGAUAUUAAAGAUAUAUAUUUUUCUUCUUCAACAAAAUAAAAUUUUUCUUCACAGUAAUUUAUUAUUGACUUCAAAUUUUUUACAGUUGUAUUAAAUUGAAUAACGUCCAUUUUUUGAAGUUUUCGAACUCAUCAGGUAAAUUAUUUCUUUCAGAGCAUAUCAACCCAGUCAUAUCAACCCAGUGACAUCUCGUUUUCUAGACACUAUUGGAAUACAAGACACUGGUAUACCUUUAAAGACUGAUGGAGGAUGCACUGGAACAAAACUACCACCUUUUUUUUAGGCCAGUGCUGAGCACAAAUUCGUCUAAAAUCUGUAAACACAAAGUUUGCAUUUGGAAGUUUUUUAAUCCAUAACUCGCGAUCCUCGGAUUUAAAGGAGAAUCUAUACAUUGUGACAUAAACAUUAUCUUUUACUUUUGUUUGUAAUUUGAGGAGCAACCAUAAACGCAGCAUUUAUUAGGCAUUUUACAAGUUUAACUAUUAUAGUUUAAAUUAAACAACCAAAAUCCUCAUUGAAACUAUACUUCUCCGUAAAAAAAUCGGCCUUCGCUAAUUUUAAUGAGCUGUCGCGGCCUGUUUAAGAAGGCCUUGCCGGUAAUAUAUAUACAGCCAGUCCGCCACUGUCGUCGUCAUCAUGUCUACGAAUUACAUAUAAAGCACUUUUCAAGUGUUUUUACUGGAGGUAAAACAAGUGGACCAAAGACUGAGUCAUUUGAAAGGCUAAAGUGUAAUUGGAAAUCGAUUCUUGAAAAGAAGUUAAAUUAUGAUAACCUAAAGAGAUUUGACUCAGAAAAAAAAAAAAAAAUCUUUUUUGGAAAAGCAGGCUUCUGAAUCAUUAACAUUCCUUCAAAAUUGCCUCGAUAAUGAUAUAUUUCCAAGAAAUUACUACAAGUAUUUUAUACAGUUAGCAGUUCUUUGGUUAGGUGGCAAAGUAAAAGAUUUUCACUUUAGAUUUCCAAUGGCUUCACAUCGUGCCAGGUUUAUGGCACAGGGCGUUUAUAAUUUAACAUACGACAUUCUACAGCCACAAUUCAGUAACUUAUGUCCUGAUAUAAUACCAUUACAAGAUGAAAAGAUGAUUCAUGAAAUUGGUUCAUUUACAGCACUAUUUUAUGUUCCAUGGUUUAUUAAAACUCCUAUCCCUGCCAUAGCACCUUCUUUAGAUCUAAAAGCCAUUAAUGAAAUAAUACAAUAUUCUGAAUUAUGUCUUAAACCAGCAGAGGUCGUACUAAAGUCACUUGAAAAACACAAUUGGUAUUUAAAUGAAAGAUUUGUGGUUAUGUGUCUUGCUGAUAAAUGCUUACCUGUAGAUCAGCUACAUAAAUUAGCUCUUAAAUUAGCUCAAACAGCAAAGCCUACCAGUUAUAAAAUGGGAAAACUAAGUUCAGAAAUUUUUACUGACAAUGAAAAAAAAAAUAACAAAAAGAAUUAAAGAUUUUAUUGGUCCUGAAAGCUGGUUUUUCUUUGAAUUACUUAAAAUGACAUUACUUGAGACAGAAUAGCUGAAAAUCAGUUCAUCAAACUGGGAAACAUGUUCAGGUUAUAUAAGAUUUAAAAAUCAUAUCACUGGUCUUCUUGUUGUAAAUGACAGUGCAGAACAUGCAAUUAAACUUGGUCAAGACUUUAUUGAAACUUUCCGAAAUGAAGAAGAUAACCAAGCUAAUUUACUGGUUGUUGCAGAUCAUCGUCUAAAAUUUCAGACAACAGAAAAAAAAUCUUGGUCGAAAGCUUUAAAAUAACUUUUCUUUAAAAAAUAAAUACAAAUGUAAAAAAAAAUUUUAUUUAAAAUUGUAAAAAAAAAUUUAACUCCCCCCCCCCACAUACACAGCAUGUCUUUAAAUGGGUAGGGCUGACCAUUUCAUUUCAUUUUUUAUAAAACAAAAUAUAAUCUUAAAUAAGAUUUAUCUGGCUACAAAAAUAAUCUUAAAGAUAUCUUUGAAAUGUUUGUAAGUGACCCAGCCCCCCUCAUUAUUUACAAAAAGUAGAAAUUUUCAAAAUUUCGGACUGCUGGGACCAACCAUAGGAGUACCCAUAAAAAAUAUAUAUAUAUAUAUUUUUAAUACAGAUAUCAAAAGAAACCAGAAAAACUA